rnacentral:rRNA from 1 species
UACGGGGGGGGCAAGCGUUGUUCGGAAUUACUGGGCGUAAAGGGCUCGUAGGCGGCCAACUAAGUCAGACGUGAAAUCCCUCGGCUUAACCGGGGAACUGCGUCUGAUACUGGAUGGCUUGAGUUCGGGAGAGGGAUGUGGAAUUCCAGGUGUAGCGGCGAAAUGCGUAGAUAUCUGGAGGAACACCGGUGGCGAAGGCGGCAUCCUGGACCGACACUGACGCUGAUGAGCGAAAGCGUGGGGAGCGAACAGG